UUUUUUAACUUCCAAUGGGGAGGAAAAGAAACUCACAAGGAUUCCCCUAGUAACGGCGAGUGAAGCGGGAAGAGCUCAAAUUUGAAAUCUUAAAGGGUCUCCCUUUACGAAUUGUAGUUUAAAGAAGUGUUUUCUGUUGGAGUUUCGGUAAAAGUUCUUUGGAAUAGGACAUCAUAGAGGGUGAGAAUCCCGUAUUUGACCGUUACUUUCCAGCUGUGUGAUACACUUUCAAAGAGUCGGAUUGUUUGGGAACGCAGUCCAAAAUGGGUGGUAAAUUUCAUCUAAAGCUAAAUAUUGGCGAGAGACCGAUAGCGAACAAGUACCGUGAGGGAAAGAUGAAAAGAACUUUGAAAAGAGAGUUAAACAGUACGUGAAAUUGUCAAAAGGGAAGCGUUUGACACCAGUGUUGUUUAGUUGAAAAUCAAUUCAAUAAUUUUUGAUUUUGAGUAGUAUUGACUUCAUCAGCUUGCUGCUUUCUUUUCAGAAAUUAUUGAAUGCACUUUUCAGUUAACAAGUCAACAUCAAUUUCUUUUGUUGUAAAAGGGUAAGAGGAAGGUGGCUUACGCUUCGGCGUAAGUGUUUAUAGCCUUUUACCUCCGCAAUCGGAGAGAUUGAGGACAGCAGCGUAGACUCUUCGGGGUUAGAUACACUUGUGCUAAGCUAUAGCCUUGUAUAGACAACUUGUGGACUAUGCUCAGUCAUGUAGCUCACUCGCUUGUGCUAUAUUACCUACGCUCAGGAUGUUGACAAAAUGGUUUAAACAACCGUCU
rnacentral:rRNA from 1 species